GACGAACCACACAAACGUUAUUCGGAAUUACUGGGCUUAAAGGGUGCGUAGGCUGCGCAGAAAGUUGGGUGUGAAAUACCUCGGCUCAACCGAGGAACUGCGCCCAAAACUACUGUGCUCGAGGGAGAUAGAGGUAAGCGGAACUGAGGGUGGAGCGGUGAAAUGCGUUGAUAUCCUCAGGAACACCGGUGGCGAAAGCGGCUUACUGGAUCUCUUCUGACGCUGAGGCACGAAAGCUAGGGUAGCGAACGGG
rnacentral:rRNA from 1 species